rnacentral:rRNA from 1 species
AUUGAACGCUGGCGGAAUGCUUAACACAUGCAAGUCGAACGGCAGCAUGGUGUGUAGCAAUACACACUGAUGGCAAGUGGCGGACGGGUGAGUAACGCGUAGGGAUCUACCCUGUAGUGGGGGACAACCCGGGGAAACUCGGGCUAAUACCGCAUACUACUCUGAGGAGGAAAGCUGGCUCGCAAGAGCUGGCGCUAUGGGAGGAACCUGCGUCCGAUUAGCUAGCUGGUGAGGUAAAAGCUCACCAGGGCGAUGAUCGGUAGCUGGUCUGAGAGGAUGACCAGCCACACUGGGACUGAGACACGGCCCAGACUCCUACGGGAGGCAGCAGUGGGGAAUAUUGGACAAUGGGGGCAACCCUGAUCCAGCAAUUCCGCGUGUGUGAAGAAGGCCUUCGGGUUGUAAAGCACUUUGGACGGGGAAGAAGGCAUUCUGUUUAAGAGAUGGGAUGUUUGACGGUACCCGUAGAACAAGCACCGGCCAACUCUGUGCCAGCAGCCGCGGUAA